rnacentral:rRNA from 1 species
GACGAACGCUGGCGGCGUGCCUAAUACAUGCAAGUAGAACGCACAGUUUAUACCGUAGCUUGCUACACCAUAGACGGUGAGUUGCGAACGGGUGAGUAACGCGUCGGUAACCUGCCUGGUAGCGGGGGAUAACUAUUGGAAACGAUAGCUAAUACCGCAUAAUAUUGAUUAUUGCAUGAUAAUUGAUGGAAAGAUGCUAUUGCAUCACUACCAGAUGGACCUGCGUUGUAUUAGCUAGUAGGUGAGGUAACGGCUCACCUAGGCGACGAGACAUAGCCGACCUGAGAGGGUGGUCGGCCACACUGGGACUGAGACACGGCCCAGACUCCUUCGGGAGGCAGCAGUAGGGCAUCUUCGGCCAUGGACGAAAGUCUGACCGAGCAACGCCGCGUGAGUGAAGAAGGUUUUCGGAUCGUAAAGCUCUGUUGUCAGAGAAGAACGGGUGUGAGAGUGGAAAGUUCACACUGUGACGGUAUCUUACCAGAAAGGGACGGCUAACUACGUG